rnacentral:rRNA from 1 species
ACUCCGGUUGAUCCUGCCGGACCCGACUGCUAUCAGAAUGAGAUUAAGCCAUGCGAGUCAACGUAGCAAUACGUGGCACACGGCUCAGUAACACGUAGUCAACAUAACCAGAGGACGUGGAUAAACUCGGGAAACUGAGGCUAAACCGCGAUAGACCAAGAUACCUGGAAUGGUUUUUGAUCAAAAUCUAUAUGGCCUUUGGAUUGGACUGCGACCGAUCAGGCUGUUGGUGAGGUAAUGGCCCACCAAACCAGUAACCGGUACGGGCUCUGAGAGGAGGAGCCCGGAGAUGGGUAC